AUUGAACGCUGGCGGCAGGCCUAACACAUGCAAGUCGAACGAGUGGCGGACGGGUGAGUAAUGUAUGGGAAACUGCCCGAUGGCGGGGGAUAACUACUGGAAACGGUAGCUAAUACCGCAUACCAUCGGAUGUGCCCAGAUGGGAUUAGCUAGUAGGUGGGGUAACGGCUCACCUAGGCGACGAGCCCUAGCUGGUCUGAGAGGAUGACCAGCCAGACUGGACCUAAGACACGGACCAGACUCCGACGGGAGGCAGAAGUGGGGAAUGUUGAACAAUGAGCGAAAGCCUGAUACAGCCAUACCGCGUAUAUGAAGAAGGCCUUCGGGUUGUAAGGUACUUUCAGCGGGGGGGCGAUAUCUGCAGAAUAAGCACCGGCUAACUCCGUGCCAGCAGCCGCGGUAAUUC
rnacentral:rRNA from 1 species